rnacentral:piRNA from 1 species
AGACUAUCCAUAAGUUCUGUGACUCUA